rnacentral:lncRNA from 1 species
GCCAGCCCAUAUAAUACUAGACAAACCAACCACCUCCGGAUAUGUCUCUGAAAACAAUAACUCUCAGCUCGAAUAGGCUAUGGUUCCCAAGAGCUGACUGUUUAUCUCUUCCAGUGGGUGCUAUUAAAUUAUACAUGACGAGGGCCAACAUCAGCCGAAACUUAUCUAAGUAAUCUAACUAACCUAUAGUCUAUUUAAUGUCCAUAUAAACAGGGUUGUUUCUCCGUAGAAUGAAAAAGCAAGGUACAUUUUUAAUCGAUUUCCGAAUCUUAUUGGAUUAUCAUCCGAUGCAUCUUCAUCAAUUUGACCAAUUCAAGAGAAAGCAAGCAACCAAGGUGAGUGGUACAAGCAACGACACCAAAAUGGCCAGCAAUUACAACUCCGUUGCUUAUACUAUGCCUUCGCUAAUUGUUUUAGGUACAUACAGAAUUGUGACUUACCAGUUAAAAACAAUCUUUUACACUUGUAAGAGUGGUAAGCCAGGGAUAAUUCUGAGAUAAUUUUCAGUUCCUUUUUUGAUCAUUCCUAGUGCUCCUAUAAUCACCAUAUUGUAUCCAUCUUGAGAUGCCAUAUUUCUUUGAAUUUCAAUGAGCAAAUCUUUAUAUUUUUUGAGCUUAUGAAAUUCUUUUGCCGAGUUAUUAUGAACACAAGCAAGGAUCAUACCGAUCAAUAAACAGACUUCAUUGUUUUAGUUUUUCAGAAUGAUAUCCGGUUUAUUAGCUUUGAUGGUUCGGUCCGUAUGUACCGGGAAGUCUCGAAGAUUCGUUACAUUUUCUCCUUCAGUUACAACCUCAGUAAGAUGCUUAUACCAUUCGUCAACACUUUUGAUUUUAUAGUACCGACAUAUUAACAAGCGUAGAUAUUGGCCAACUCUAACAUGUCUAAAAUUUGACAUCCAGCGAUUGGGUGGUCCAGUUUCAAUCACAUCAUUGCAGAAUCGGCAUUUUGGAUCUACUCCAUCUUUCGACAAAUUGGUUUGGUAGAUUCGGAUAAAUAGGCUUUGUUCUUAUUCAGCUGAAUGAGAUCUUCGGUCACUGCCUUUAGCCCUGAGCUCCCUGAGCUUCAACACCAUCUUGUUUGCUACGGGCCACAUAUUUGCGAUUUAAACUAUUGCAGCUUAUUUUACUGGGUAUGAUGGAAAGUCAGUUGUCCACAGCUAGCAGAUUAAGGCGACACAUUUUUAUUGAUCAUACUUAAAGAACCCCGUGAAAAGUUCUUACAGUUCCAUUCAAUACUGAUAUUUGUUGAUGUUCUACCUUCACAUUCGCACCGAUUUUUUUUCAGCCAUAUUCGUAGUGGAGUGCUGAUAUUUCCAAGUACACCAAUUACAAUUGAUAUCAUGUCUACCCUCUUUCAACCAAUUACUAUUGGUAUCACGUUUACUCUUUUCAUUAUUAUUAUUAUUAUUAUUAUUAUUAUUAUUAUUAUUGAGUGAGAGAGCAGUGCAUGCCAUCAAAUUGACACUGGGGUAAAAUAUACGAAGCCCAGUAUACCCAUCAUGACUACCCGUCUGAUAAGGGUACACUAGGCACAUGCAUCACAACUAUAUGUGCGCAACAUGGUAAUCUCAUAUCAAGAUAAACAGCACAUGACCUUGCAGGUGGGGCCCAGUUAGAAUUUUCUUCAGGUCGAGUAGCCCAUCCGGCUCAAAAGGUCCCUGAAUUAGGGUUGUUAAGGAUGUUGAACAAAACACCCAUGUUUCCAGAGGGGAAUUAUUCAAACCCCAAAGAAUCCCUCUCAACACAUGGCUAUGAUGAUCCCCCACUACUUCUGCUCGUGAUCAGAUAUGCACAUAUCGUCAGCCACUAAGGAACAUGCUCAACUGGUUAAGGUCAAACAACUGACAAGCAAAUCUGUAGUAUUGAGCAGAAUAUUUGCUGUAGCCCAUCUUUUAUACCAAGACAAAAUAAUGUACAUGAUAGCACUUCCAAUCAGUUAAGAUUAGAAGCCACGAAAGCCACCGCCUGGUACCGCAUCAGGGCAUUAUUAUUAUUAUUAUUAUUAUUAUUAUUAUUAUUAUUAUUAUUAUUAUUAUUAUUAUUAUUAUUAUCAUCAUCAUCAUCAUCAUCAUCAUCAUCAUCAUCAUCGUCGUCGUCGUCAUCAUCAUCGUUAUCGUCGUUGUCGUCGUCAUCAUCAUCAUCAUCAUCAUCAUCAUCAUCAUCAUCAUUAUUAUUAUUAUUAUUAUUAUUAUUAUUAUUAUUAUUAUUUACCACCAGCAGAUGAAGCCCCACAUCACUGAAGAGAGACACACAACACGUUCCCUUUCCCAACCAAAUCAAUUCGGACAUUUCAAGUACUGAUGGGGAGAAAGGGGGGGGGGCACACAGUGCCGCCGAAAAAGAAAAGAAAGAAAAAGAGCAAAGAGACAAUAGAAAAUGUGGGGAGGCGCAAAGAAGCGGAUCUUCCCAACAACAGCAGCAACAACAACAACACCUUCACCAGCACUACCACCUGAAAACACCAACACAAAUUACAACACACAGAGACACCACCAGCACUACAACCAUCACAACCAUAAAGGAAAUCAACGAAGACCUGGUCACGUAUCUUAAAGGCAACAUAGACACGACAAGCUGUUUUAAUUUCAAUCAAGCGAUGUGCGAUCGAACGCUGCGCACCGUACUCUGCGAGUGGUAAUUUGAUGAGAUCGAUAAUUAAUCCUAAAGAUAGAUAGGCGCAGGAGUGGCUGUGUGGUAAGUAGCUUGCUAACCAACCACAUGGUUCCGGGUUGAGUCCCACUGCGUAGCAUCUUGGGCAAGUGUCUUCUGCUAUAGCCCCGGGCCGACCAAUGCCUUGUGAGUGGAUUUGGUAGACGGAAACUGAAAGAAGCCUGUCGUAUAUAUGUACAUAUAUAUGAGUGUGUGUGUAUAUGUUUGUGUGUCUGUGUUUGUACCCCUAGCAUUGCUUGACAACCGAUGCUGGUGUGUUUACGUCCCCGUCACUUAGCGGUUCGGCAAAAGAGACCGGUAGAAUAAGUACUGGACUUACAAAAAGAAUACGUCCCGGGGUCGAUUUGCUCGACUAAAGGCGGUGCUCCAGCAUGGCCGCAGUCAUGACUGAAACAAGUAAAAGAGAGUAACAGAGAGAGAGAGUAAAGAGAUAAGCCAAAAAUAUCGGUAGAACCAAAGUCUUACAAAUCACUGCUGAAUUCUUCAUUGUCAUUCGAGUUAAAAGCCAAAGAAUCCGUUUUCUUCCAUGCAAAUUUUCUGUAUUUAUUUGUUUAUCUAUUUAUUUAUUUAAUAAUUUAUUUAAUUAUUUGCCAAUUUAUUCAUAUUUUUAUUCCUUUAUCGUUUCAUUAUAAACAAUUAGGCGCAGGAGUGGCUGUGUGGUAAGUAGCUUGCUAACCAACCACACGGUUGCGGGUUCAGUCCCACUGCGUGGCAUCUUGGGCAAGUGUCUUCUACUAUAGCCUCGGGUCGACCAAUGCCUUGUGAGUGGAUUUGGUAGACGGAAGCUGAAAGAAGCCUGUCGUAUAUAUGUAUAUAUAUGUAUAUGUGUGUGUGUUUGUGUGUCUGUGUUUGUCCCCCUAGCAUUGCUUGACAACCGAUGCUGGUGUAUUUACGUCCCCGUCACUUAGCGGUUCGGCAAAAAGAGACCGAUAGAAUAAGUACUAAAAGGUGGUGCUCCAGCAUGGCCGCAGUCAAAUGACUGAAACAAGUAAAAGAGUAAAAGAGUAAGAGUAAGAUUCAGAUGUAAUGUGAAAUAUGACGUAAGGGGCAUAAUUCUUAAUAACCUUUUCAGAAUUAUGUCCCUUACAUCCUAUUUCACCUUAUUGAUGGUAUUUUCAAAUGCAGUUUAUUUCGGAGUUUUCUCCCUUAGACUUCUUACUACUUUAAGCCAAAGGGAUUUUGGAUGCGUUUAGAAAGUAUCGGAGAAUAUCUAUGUUGUUACAGUGAUCGCUCGCUACUUCGCAGUUCAACUAUCACGGAUUCACUACUUCGCGGAUUUUAAAAGUAUAUAUAUAUAUGAGCGCCUAAAAUUUUUCAUUAAAUCCAUUAAAAUAGUAAUAAUUGAUAUUAUUUCCUAGCAAAAAAGCAUAUACAGGGAUAUUUGAACUUAAGACGGGCUGUGAUUGGUGCAAUGGAGAGAGACGACGAAUCACAGCUUUCUAUUUUGUAAUCUGGCCUGCGUAACAGAAACAAUCUUUAUUUUUUAAAUCUAAAGUGUUAUUGCUUAACAGUUGUCCUUGUUAUUAAUAGUCAACUGUAAUGGGUGGGUUGUUAACAGUACAGGGAGGGUUUUAAAGGUCCAAAUACACGUUAAAUAACCACUGUAAAUAUGGUGUUCCUACUUCGCGGAAAUUCAGUUAUCGUGGCCGGUCUCGGAACCAAUCUACCGCGAUAAACGAGGGAUCACCGUAUUAACAGUUAUUUAUACAAACACGCAUGCAUACAGACAUACAUGGAUACACAGACUGAUAGAUAAACAAAUAGAUCGAUUCAUAGACAGACUGACAGACAGAUGGACGGAUAGAGGGAUGGACGGACAGAUGGACUGACGAACAGAUGGAUGGAUGGAUGGAUAGAGAGGGGGAUAGAGAGAGAGAUAGAGAGAGAGAAAGUGAUAGAUAGAUAGAGAGAGAGAGGGGGGAGAGAUAGAUAGAUAGAUAGAUAGAUAGAUAGAUAGAUAGAUAGAUAGAUAGAUAGACAGACAGACAGACAGACAGACAGACAGACAGACAGGCAGACAGACAGACAGACAGAUAAUCCACCUCGCAAAAUUUCACGCCUUGUACCUAUACCGUGUAGAUGCGGAUCCUAGUGGUUUAUUGUGUUGCGUUUAUGAUCGUAAGAUUGUGGUUUCGGUUCCCGGAGAGGGCGACGAGUUGUGUUCUUGUGCAAAACACUUCAUUGUACGAUGCUCCUGUACACUCAGCUGGCAAACAUGAGCAUUCCUGCGACGGCCCGGCGUCCCGUCCAGAGUCUGGGGUGGAUACACGAGCUACACAAGCUGGGAAAGUGGUCUUAUGAGCCCACGGCUCUGCAGGGAGCUAUGAUUUUGUUCAUUGUUGGGCUGUUUCGUGCAUCAUGUAGAAAGACUCGGUGUUGUUGUUGUUGUUAGCUGGUUGAUUCGUUAGCGCGCAGGAUGAAAUGCUUGGCGGUAUUUCGUUUGCCUCUACGUUGUGAGUUGAAAUUCCGCCAAGGUCGAUUUUGCCUUUCAUCCUUAUGUGUGUGCUUAUAUAUGUAUAUAUAUAUACACACACACACAUCAGUACGUUGCUAAGGAAUAUCUUCGUAAUAGGCCACUAUUCUCAUAAAGAUCUGAAAUCAUAUAUAUAUAUGUCUAGUGAAAGGAGUAGUUUAUAGAGCCAAGGUGCAAGUGGAAGGCUCAUCGGAAUACAAGAUAUACACAGGGGCUUCAGAAAAUUCAUUUAAAACAAGAUUUUAUUCUCAUAAAAAUUCAUUUAAAUACCCAGAGAAUAGGAAGAAAACCAGCCUAGCAAAAUAUGUCUGGGAACUAAAAGAAAAGGAAGCCCCACCUUUCAACGUGACAUGGAGCAUUCUGGACAGGGCGGCACCAUACAGGCAUGGAGCUUACAAAAAUAAUUUCAAGUGCAGACUUUGUCUAUUAGAAAAAAUGUACAUCUUAUUCAAAGACAAUAAUUCUUUGAAUCAAAGAAGUGAGUUAAUGAACUUAUGUAGGCACGCGGCUAAAUUUAAAAUUUCGAAUAUAAAUAUACCAUAUGGAUAGAGUAUAUAUUUUGUAUUUUUGAUUUUGAUUUUGACUCUUGAACGAUGAGCGCUACGAUGGAUUUUGUUUUUGUUUCCAAGCUAUGCGGAUCUUAAUCCGUAUAGCAAAGUCUUAUGUUUCUACAUAUAUAUUAGGAAAAACCUACAAACUUUGUUUUCAUGUUAUUGUAUUGCAUAGGAUUACCUUGAUUAUUUAUAUUACCUUGAUUAUUUAUAAAUGACCCAAAAUAGGAUGUUAUAUUUUAUUUUAUAUGUCUUUCGUAUAUAUUUUUAUUAAUGCACCCAUUUUUUUUUAAAAGCAAUGUUUUUUUUUAAAAAAGCAAUGUUGUCAAAAUUAGAAUGUUUAUAUAAGUAUGUGUAUAGCAAAGCAUAUGUAUUUGUAAGCAUGCGUAUCUGUGUAUGUGUAAGUGAAAGUAUGUUUGUGCUUAAGCACACAUAUACACGACUGUAUGUAUAUGUAUCCAUUCAAACUUGUGUAUGUAUACUGGUCUCUAUAUAUGCCAAUAAUACCGUUACGCUGCUUGUAUACAUAAUUUUUUCUUAUUUCGUUUUUUCCCCACCCCUCCUUCGUUCCUUUUUUCUCUCUCCCUUUCUUUCGUUCCCCCUCCUUGCUCAGUAUAUGAGAAUUGCUACAUAGAUGAAUUUUAGCUUGCGUGCGAGACGGUUUGCGUGAAUAUAUGUACACAUGCUUUUAUGUGUAUAUUUAGAUUUAUAUUCAUACGUCUGUAUAUGUAUGUAUGGCGUUUACGCGCAUCCUUUUGUGUAUGUUGAUAUAUAUAUGUAGAUUUUAAUAUAAAUAUGUAUUGCAGUAUUUAUAACAGGUUUAAUUUCUAUGCAUUAAUUUGCACUGUCUUCAUUAACGUCAAUAGGUUUUUUCCUCGGAUUUUAUCAUUUUUAUAAGUUUUUUAUAUAUAUAUACAUAUAUUUUUGACCUUUUUUAUCGCUCGAAGAUUGAGUUUUUUCUAAAGGGCCAAUCAAACAAGUCCAUUUUUUUUUAAAGGUGUAACGUUUGUAAGAGUAUAGAUUGAAUUGAUAUAUCAGUUCCAUUCUAGCAAAAACUGUCUGAUGAACGGCAACGAGAAACUCAGAGUAACAGAUUUUGUUGAAUUUUCUGCUGCUUAAAAUAAAGCAUAUUACUCUACCACUGGUAUUUGAGUACUCUUUUUUCCACCUUGUUUCACAUUUAUGUGUUUACUCCGGUAUAUAUAUAUAUAUUGUUAUAUUUAGGAAUGGUCAUUUUGCCAGUUUAGCCAAUAAAAACACACGCACUAUAUAUUUGGUGUUACUUUGCUUCAGUGUUAUUUAUUUUUUACAUUAAUCUUAAUCUUAUUUCGGCCAGAGUUCUUUCGUCACACUCCUGUGACCGCAUCAGAGGUCCUUUGUUUUCUUCUUUCUUUUUUGUGUCUCUCCUUACUAACCGUCAGCCAUUUUGUAUUUCUAUUGUAUUUAUUUAGCGUGUGGGUGGGGAUGCCUGUAAUAUUUGUAUCUUCUGUUUAUAUACGUUCAUGUAAUUUGUUUUUGUUGUUGUUGUUUUUGUUUAUUCUUAUUUUGUUCAUGUGUUUACAUCCACUUAUUAUUAUUAUCAUUACAUAUGCUUGUGUGUAUGUAUAUAUAACAAUAAUACUAGUAAUAAUAAUAAAUCCCCAAAAAAUCUUUUGAAUUAAACAAAACAAAAAAAACUUAUAUAGUUAUUUAUUUCUAUCUGUCUAUUUAUCUGUGUAUUUUAUUUAUUAUGUUUUCGGUUUUGUUUAUAUUGUAACCAGUUUAUUGGGAUCCUCUACCGUCAUAUGUUGUGGUGUGUGCUAGUGUUCCAUUCCAGUUUCCUAUUCAGGCUAGUUUUAUUUUCUAUUAUGUGUGUAGCUUCUGUAAUUUUUCUGAUUGUUGCAUCUGUUCUAUGUUUUCUUAUAUUUUUAUUUUAUUUUAUCUAGUUUCAGCUCACGAGCUGUG